rnacentral:piRNA from 1 species
UACUCUCUAGAACUUGAUGGUAAGACCCUA